CUAACGCGGUAAGUGGCCCGCCUGGGGACUACGGCCGCAAGGCUAAAACUCAAAGGAAUUGACGGGGCCCCGCACAAGCAGCGGAGCGUGUGGAUUAAUUCGAUGCAACGCGAAGAACCUCACCUGGGUUUGACAUGCACGUGGUAGGAACCCGAAAGGGGCCCGACCCGCGAGGGAGCGUGCACCGGUGCUGCAUGGCUGUCGUCAGCUCGUGCCGUGAGGUGUUGGGUUAAGUCCCGCAACGAGCGCAACCCCCGUCCCUAGUUGCCGUUUCUAGGGAGACUGCCGGGCGAACCCCGGAGGAAGGUGGGGAUGACGUCAAGUCCGCAUGGCCCUUACGUCCAGGGCUUCACACACGCUACAAUCGCCGGCACAGCGGGAUGCCACUGCGCGAGCAGGAGCCAAUCCCCCAAAACCGGUGCCAGUCCGGAUCGCAGGCUGCAACUCGCCUGCGUGAAGCCGGAGUUGCUAGUAACCGCGCGUCAGCACAGUGCGGUGAAUGCGUUCCCGGGGCUUGUACACACCGCCCGUCACACCACGAAAGCCGGCAAGACGCGAAGGCGCCGGGCCAACCCUCACCCCUCGGGGCCGGGGGAGGCAGGCGACGAGCGUCGGGCUAGUGAUUGGGGUGAAGUCGUAACAAGGUAAC
rnacentral:rRNA from 1 species